rnacentral:rRNA from 1 species
GCGCUGCCUAAUACAUGCAAGUCGAGCGGACAGAAGGGAGCUUGCUCCCGGAUGUUAGCGGCGGACGGGUGAGUAACACGUGGGUAACCUGCCUGUAAGACUGGGAUAACUCCGGGAAACCGGAGCUAAUACCGGAUAGUUCCUUGAACCGCAUGGUUCAAGGAUGAAAGACGGUUUCGGCUGUCACUUACAGAUGGACCCGCGGCGCAUUAGCUAGUUGGUGGGGUAAUGGCUCACCAAGGCAACGAUGCGUAGCCGACCUGAGAGGGUGAUCGGCCACACUGGGACUGAGACACGGCCCAGACUCCUACGGGAGGCAGCAGUAGGGAAUCUUCCGCAAUGGACGAAAGUCUGACGGAGCAACGCCGCGUGAGUGAUGAAGGUUUUCGGAUCGUAAAGCUCUGUUGUUAGGGAAGAACAAGUGCGAGAGUAACUGCUCGCACCUUGACGGUACCUAACCAGAAAGCCACGGCUAACUACGUGCCAGCAGCCGCGGUAAUACGUAGGUGGCAAGCGUUGUCCGGAAUUAUUGGGCGUAAAGGGCUCGCAGGCGGUUUCUUAAGUCUGAUGUGAAAGCCCCCGGCUCAACCGGGGAGGGUCAUUGGAAACUGGGAAACUUGAGUGCAGAAGAGGAGAGUGGAAUUCCACGUGUAGCGGUGAAAUGCGUAGAGAUGUGGAGGAACACCAGUGUCGAAGGCGACUCUCUGGUCUGUAACUGACGCUGAGGCGCGAAAGCGUGGGGGAGGGAGGAGGAUUAGAUA